GUGCUCACUUCGGCAGCACAUAUACUAAAAUUGGAAUGAUACAGAGAAGAUUAGCAUGGCCUCUGUGCAAGGAUGACAUGCAAAUUUGUGAAGCACUCCAUGUUUUU
rnacentral:snRNA from 1 species